CAGAGUAAAGGGAGCGGGGUCUGAAUAUAGACAGGCUAGCCAGAGGUCUCCACAGUGAGUAUAGUGAAUGAGGUCUGAAUAUAGACAGAGGUCUCCACAGUGAGUAUAGUGAAUGAGGUCUGAAUAUAGACAGAGGUCUCCACAGUGAGUAUAGUGAAUGAGGUCUGAAUAUAGACAGAGGUCUCCACAGUGAGUAUAGUGAAUGAGGUCUGAAUAUAGACAGAGGUCUCCACAGUGAGUAUAGUGAAUGAGGUCUGAAUAUAGACAGAGAGGAGGAGGACUGAGGUCUCCACAGUGAGUAUAGUGAAUGAGGUCUGAAUAUAGACAGAGAGGAGGAGGACUGAGGUCUCCACAGUGAGUAUAGUGAAUGAGGUCUGAAUAUAGACAGAGAGGAGGAGGACUGAGGUCUCCACAGUGAGUAUAGUGAAUGAGGUCUGAAUAUAGGCAGAGAGGAGGAGGACU